rnacentral:rRNA from 1 species
CACGUAGGGGGCAAGCGUUGUCCGGAUUUAUUGGGCGUAAAGAGCUCGUAGGCGGUUCGCUAAGUCGGGUGUGAAAACUCCGGGCUCAACCCGGAGACGCCACUCGAUACUGCUAUGACUUGAGUCCGGUAGGGGAGUGCGGAAUUCCACGUGUAGCAGUGAAAUGCGUAGAGAUGUGGAGGAACACCGAUGGCGAAGGCAGCCCCCUGGGUUAACACUGACGCUCAGGCACGAAAGCGUGGGGAGCAAACAGG